GACCACCAGACUGUUGUCUUUCCUCUCAAAAUAUCCACCGGUUAUGGUAGCUAUGGCACUAAUUGUUGAAUAAUACAGAGCAACAACAACACACCACCAACCGCCUUCAAUCGUUGGAGCAAGCCUGGCGAUGAUGGCUUUGGAAUUAUCAGCUUUGCUCUCUUCGUUAUUCCUUUCUUGAGCAGAUACAUAUAUAAAAGAAAGUCACAAUGAUGUCGAUGAACAGAGGAGCUGGGGCACAAGUGGAAUAUAAUGUUGAAAAUUAGGGAUUUUGAACAGGAGACUCUUCAUGUCAUCUCAAAAUUGGUAUACAAACCUAGAUUGCCAGUAUGGGCAACCUAUUUGUUCAUUAUCACCCAUCGUCCCCUGCUGCCGCCGUUUCACCCAACCCCACCUCCACUGCCACCUCUGACCCGAUCGAUGGUUACCUUUCCGAUGAUCCUGCUCACGCUAAAUGUCGCCAAGAUCGCAAAAAAGGUGUCGCUCGUAUCAAUCUCCUCUGUUUCUUCAAUCUUCUGAUUGGAUGAUGUUCAAUGAAUAAUAAAUUCCAGUGCUAAUUUGAACAUAUUAUUAUUAUAUUAAAUUUUGAAAUGAUGAUAAUUAGGAUUUAGGAUCCUGAUCGUUGAUUUAUUAUAGUUUUUUUUUUAAUAUUAUCUCUGGUUACUGAU